AUUGAACGCUGGCGGCAUGCUUUACACAUGCAAGUCGAACGGUAACAGGUCUUCGGAUGCUGACGGGUGGCGAACGGGUGAGUAAUGCAUCGGAACGUGCCCAGUCGUGGGGGAUAACGCAGCGAAAGCUGCGCUAAUACCGCAUACGAUCUAUGGAUGAAAGCGGGGGACCGUAAGGCCUCGCGCGAUUGGAGCGGCCGAUGUCAGAUUAGGUAGUUGGUGGGGUAAAGGCCCACCAAGCCAACGAUCUGUAGCUGGUCUGAGAGGACGACAGCCACACUGGGAGUGAGACACGGCCCAGACUCCUACGGGAGGCAGCAGUGGGGAAUUUUGGACAAUGGGCGCAAGCCUGAUCCAGCAAUGCCGCGUGCAGGAAGAAGUCCUUCGGGUUGUAAACUGCUUUUGUACGGAACGAAACGGCUCUCUCUAAUACAGAGGGCUAAUGACGGUACCGUAAGAAUAAGCACCGGCUAACUACGUGCCAGCCGCCGCCGUAA
rnacentral:rRNA from 1 species